rnacentral:rRNA from 1 species
UACGAAGGGGGCGAGCGUUGUUCGGAAUUACUGGGCGUAAAGGGCGCGCAGGCGGCCUCUUGAGGUCAGAUGUGAAAGCCCCGGGCUCAACCUGGGAAUGGCAUUUGAUACUCAAGGGCUCGAGUACGGGAGAGGAGAGUGGAAUUCCCAGUGUAGAGGUGAAAUUCGUAGAUAUUGGGAAGAACACCGGUGGCGAAGGCGGCUCUCUGGACCGUAACUGACGCUGAGGCGCGAAAGCGUGGGGAGCAAACAGG